ensembl:lncRNA
CGUUCAGCAGCUCAUUGUGAAGGGUAAAUACAUAGACAUUUUAGUACGUUGAACUGAAGCCUUGUAGGCUUUAAUCCCAUAACACAAUCUAAACAUUACAAGGGUCUGGUGUUGCUUCAUAAGCCGCUGACACACAAAACAUGUUUCCAGGAAGAUGUUGCAGUUCUCAGAGCAGACUGUGUUUGUGACAACUCAUAACUCAAUGAAGGGGCCGUAUAGAAAGCCUGUUUGAAUUGCACUUAGUAACAAAAUGCCAGUUCAGCUAAAUGUGCAGGUGAGAUGGUCAUUACAUCAUAUUUACACAAUGUACCAAACGGGAACGGUGCUACUCUGCCACAGUGAUACAUAAUGUUUAGUUGACAAGAGCACAAGUGUUGCUUAUGCUCCUCGUCGUUGCCAGAGAGAAAGAACGCGCGCGCAAGAGAGAGCGACAGCGCUCCACACAUGCAUGUAGUCUAGCUGGAACAUUCCAAUCACCUGAGCUACACUAGAGCCUUCCAUGUGGUCUUAAUGGCUGAUGUAUUACCAGAGGAAGAGAGAGAGGCUUGGCAUCACACUCAGGUCCAUAGCUCCCCCCCUCAGCCCCACUGCUCCUUCAGCCCCUGUCUGCGUCCCAAAUGGCACCCUGUUAUCUAUAUAGCGCACCAGAACCCUCGUCAAAAGAAGUGCACUCACUAUAUGCCACUUGGGACGCAGACCCUCCUCACUGGUUGGCUGGCUGCCAUUUGGCUCCGUGGUGAAGACACUCCGCUGGUCACAUGAUACCCCCCUGGGUCUGCUUUACCAGUUUGUUAUUCACAACCCCCCAGGAGAGGAGAGGGGAGGGGCUGAGAUGAGAGGGGAGUGGCUGAGAGGAGAGGGGCUGAGAGGAGGAGGGAGGGGCUAAUAGGUGAGAGGAGGGGCUGAGAGGAGAGGGGCUGAGAGGAGGAGGGAGGGGCUAAUAGGUGAGAGGAGGGGCUGAGAGGAGAGCGGAGGGGCUGAGAGGAGGAGGGAGGGGCUAAUAGGUGAGAGGAGGGGCUGAGCUGUAUACCUGGGACCCAGUGUGACAUAGGCCUUCAGCUGAAAUGUUGUUACACUUCAUUUGAUUUUUUAUUUAACCUUUAUUUAACUAGGCAAGUCAGUUAAGAAUUCUUAUUUACAACGACGCCCUACUUGUAAAGCCCCGUUGGCCAAACCCUCCCCUAACCCAGAUGAUGUCCCUGUGAGACUCCCGAUCACGGCCAGUUGUGAUACAGCCCGGGAUCAAACCUGGGUCUGUAGGGAAGCCUCAAGCACUGCGAUGCAGAGCCUUAGACUGCUGCACCACUCGGGAGGCCAAAUGUGUGGAACUAUUAUGAGGGGAGAACAACUCAUCUAAAACUGUUACCUGGGAAAAUACGAUGAAUGUAUGAACUGAGAGAUGAACAUGUUGUAGCGGCCUACAAUAUACAUCUGAAUUGCAUGCAACGCUAUUUUACUGUAGUACACCACAGCUUGAUGCUCUUAUAGGAACAUCUAAACUGCCACUAGGGGACCCCACUACCUUCAUUACAGUAGCUAAAAAUGGUCCUCCACUCUACUGCUCUCGGUGAAACAUCACAUCAGUUUUAUAUUGUUUCCUAAACUAUUUGGUCGAUUUCGGCUAUUAGUCUGUCAGUCAGUUGAAGCAUUUGAUGUAAACACGAAAACUUCCACAGGACAAGUGCCAGGUGAGAAGUGUCAGUCAAGCGACACUGCCUUUAUACACCCCUUCGCUGUUUUGAUAGAUCCUAUCUGGUCUGGACCACGUCAGUCCGUGUGAGGAAAUUAUAUAUAUAUAUAAAAAAACACUAUUGGAAGGAGGUGAAGUGUAUUUUGAGAGGUUUUGCAGAGAGAUUUAUUGCAUAAAGUCAAG